AGAGAAUAGAUACCCGGGUAGUCCACGCCCUAAACGAUGUCUACUAGUUGUCGGGGAUUCAUUUCCUUGGUAAACGCAGCUAAACGCGUGAAGUAGACCGCCUGGGGAGUACGGCCGCAAGGUUAAAACUCAAAGGAAUUGACGGGGACCCGCACAAGCGGUGGAUGAUGUGGAUUAAUUCGAUGCAACGCGAAAAACCUUACCUACGCUUGACAUGCCAGGAACUUUCCAGAGAUGGAUUGGUGCCCGAAAGGGAACCUGGACACAGGUGCUGCAUGGCUGUCGUCAGCUCGUGUCGUGAGAUGUUGGGUUAAGUCCCGCAACGAGCGCAACCCUUAUCCUUAGUUGCUACGCAAGGGCACUCUAGGGAGACUGCCGGUGACAAACCGGAGGAAGGUGGGGAUGACGUCAAGUCCUCAUGGCCCUUAUGUGUAGGGCUUCACACGGUCAUACAAUGGUCGGUACAGAGGGUCGCAACCCGCAGGGGGAGCCAAUCCCNGAAAACCGAUCGUAUCCGGGAUUGCAGUCUGCAACUCGACUGC
rnacentral:rRNA from 1 species